AGUGACAUACGAAAAGAAAUUACAGUUUACACAUUAUUUUAUUGUUGAAAAUGAAUUUCAUUAAGGUUUUCUUCUUCAUUUUCGCGUGCAUCGCUUUGACUACAGUUUCUAGUGCGCCGAGUCCCAAAUGGAAAUUCCUGAAAAGAAUUGAAAAAGUUGGAAGGAACAUUCGUGAUGGUAUCAUCAAGGCUGGCCCCGCGGUGCAGGUGAUAGGAGAUGCGACGAAGAUCAUAAGACCAGGAAAAUGAACAGUACCGCCUAGAAAAUAAGACUAAUUCUUACAAUACUCAAUGCACCAAGUGUCUUAACCAUACAAAGAACAAAUGGGCAAGAACUCCGCAGAUACUCAUUAAAAAAACUGUCAAUUGUU
rnacentral:misc_RNA from 1 species